rnacentral:tRNA from 1 species
GCCUGGGUGGCUAAAUCGGUUAAGCAUCUGACUUUGGCUCAGGUCAUGAUCUCGCACUCCGUGAGUUCGAGACCCACAUCUGGCC